AAUCUUGUUGGGAGGGAAAUGGACAAAGCAGCAUCCUCUGCUGCGCUGGUGAUGAAUUUAACUCACUACUUGCACCUGCAGUGAUCAGCUCUUCACGAGGAAUGAGAAUUAGUUCUGUGGGCUUAAUCUGAACUGUCUUAGUGCUACUGCACUCCAGAGAGGGAAACUGUCACAAUGCCAGCUGGAGGCGUCAGACUGAGCCAGGAGUUUACACGUACAACAAGCGAUGUCUCCCGUGAUAAAGACGGAUCAGCCUUGACGAGAGGGACCAGCCGCUCCGCCGUUAUCACUCUUGACUCUUCCGCGUUUGACAACGUAAUCACGAAAGACAAGGAGCUGUGCAAUUAAAAGGCAGCGGUUGUUGACAGGAGGAGCUUUAAUAGGAGCGGCGCAGCAAAGACGAGACUCAACAGGGGGUUCUCAGAGAGGAGGCGUCCCAAUGUUUCGACAGAUCUGGCAGGAUACCAGGUGGACUCAUGAGAAACUUUACAAAAAAAUCUAAAUCAAAAUCAAGACAUUUGAUGAUUUGAUGCUCUUUCCUGUGAUUUAUGCUACUCUGCACAGACAUCAGCUUCAAUGUGGGCGUUAUCAGUUGUUUGUCAUGGCAGGUUGAUAAAUAAUUUCCCAUUGUUUAUUACAUUACAUAUAACCGAGGAUUACAGUGGAUUAUGGUGCGGUUAAUGAACUUAAUGAGUUUGCAUCGUGACUCAUAAAGCAUCUUCUAAAUUGAUACGAGAGGUUAAUAAACAGACUUCUGUGUUUAUUGGUUAUUUAAUCUUUGUUCAAAAUGAGAUAUGCAUGAUUUAUGUUGGGAAUUCAGUGCUGCACUUCAUCGGGCGACGUCAUCAGGUAGAGACGUUUGUUUUGAAUUUGCUGCUGCAGAGAUGCUACUCACUGUGGCAACAGAUCAUCAACCUACAUUUAUGUAUAAAUUGCAAUACUAACACAGCAGAAAUCAUGUCUCCAUUAAGAUAUUUAUGUUUUUAUGGAAAUUUUCUGGAUCUACGCCAUCAGUUUCAGCCUCGCUGAGGAGAAGGGAACACCAGCAGUAUUUCUAUCAUUUUAUUAGCAACCUUAGUUGAAGCAAAUUAGUUUUUUUUGUAGAAGAUAUUUCAUGCAAUUUCAACAUAACUUUAUGACAUUGCUUGAAUGCUCUGUAUGUGCCUCGGAGGUUGCAUUCAGAAGUAAUAAUGCACACAAAGUGUAAAAUAUGCAUUUUAAACUGAUCAGCCUCUGAAGCCUUUUUAAUGAACUUUGUCAACUCAAAUGGUGUGAAUUUUUUCAAGCAAAUCUGCUACUCUUCCAACUCUGAAAUUUCCUUGUUUUUGCUAGAACAUUUCUGAGGUUUUUUUUUUUA